CAUACCAUUAGGAACCAAAAUAAACAAAAAUUAAAAAAAUAAACAACUUGCUUACCUCAAAUCUACAAUUUCUCUCUCUAGAUCCUCUCUCUAACCCAAGUUGCUGUAGGUGAACUGGUGCAAAACGAGCUGUAGCCCCUUCUAAAGGGGUCUCUAAGUAGCCAAGCACGAGGUGGCUUGUAGGAGUUGGCAUUCCACAAACUCCAAUUUCCCAAUUUUGCACUUUAGUCCUUCAAGUUAUCAAAAAUAAAACCCAUAAUUGCCAAUUAGUCCUUUAGGUUUUCAUAACCCUAAUCAGCCCCUAAGAACCUAAUAAGCAUGCUUAAGUCAUUAACCAAUCCCACUUAACCUUAAUCAAAGUUUAAUUCAUAAUUAAACAAGAUUAGCACUAAACUAGUUUUAACAUCUAAUUAAUCAUGCUUAAAGUUAUGUACUAAGAUAAUCACUAUUGCCUGUUUAAUUCAUUGGUACUAGUUGUUACAACUUUAGACAAGGGAAGCCUGGACAGAAGCUAGAGCAAGGACAACAAGGGAGAUUUUAUGCAUUGGGGUCACAAAAUGCAAAGUCAAAUGCCUUAGUGGAAGUUCCUAUAGGCAAAGAUUGCCUACUUAGAAGAAACACAAAAAGGAAGUUGGUGUAAGGAGAAUCAACAAGCAUUCAAGGAUCCAUUGCAUGUUCCAGUUGGGCCUAUUACUAAAGCAAGAUCUAAGAAGAUCAAAGAAGCACUUAAUGGGCUAAUUCAAGAGAUUUGGGCUGAUUCUAACGCGGGACAUCCCAAGUUUGGCCCAAAGGAAGAUGAAGGUGUAAUAAAUUUAAUCCAAUAUAUUGAGGGUUAAUUUGGCUUGAUUGGGUGUGAUUUAUGACAUGGAUUAAUGACUGAUUGACUUUUUAGCUUCAUAUAAAUUAUUUCCUAUUCUAGAGCUUCUAAAUUCAGGCCAAAUCUACCUUAAUUUUAGGCUUUUAUUAUUUAUAAUGUUUUUUAGCUAUUUUCCUAUUUUGGAUCUGCUAAUUUCAGACCAAAUCAACCUUUAUUUAGGAUUUUAAUAUUUAGUACCUUUUUUAGUUUAGGGUUUUAAUAUUUAGUAAGUUUUUUUCAUGACAUAUAAAUAGCACG